UCUAAGACUUCAGCCUUCCUGAGUUGGCAGC
rnacentral:piRNA from 1 species